GGUUAAGCGACUAAGCGUACACGGUGGAUGCCCUGGCAGUCAGAGGCGAUGAAGGACGUGCUAAUCUGCGAAAAGCGACGGUAAGGUGAUAUGAACCGCUACAGCCGUCGAUGUCCGAAUGGGGAAACCCAAUGCACUUGUGCAUUAUCGUUUGAUGAAUACAUAGUCAAACGAGGCGAACCGGGGGAACUGAAACAUCUAAGUACCCCGAGGAAAAGAAAUCAACCGAGAUUCCCCCAGUAGCGGCGAGCGAACGGGGAGCAGCCCAGGACCUGAAUCAGCUUGUGCAUCAGUGGAAGCGUCUGGAAAGUCGCGCGAUACCGGGUGACAGCCCCGUACACGAAGAUGCAUAAGUUGUGAGUCCGACGAGUAGGGCGGGACACGUGGUAUCCUGUCUGAACAUGGGGGGACCAUCCUCCAAGGCUAAAUACUCCUGACUGACCGAUAGUGAACCAGUACCGUGAGGGAAAGGCGAAAAGAACCCCGGCGAGGGGAGUGAAACAGAACCUGAAACCGUGUACGUACAAGCAGUGGGAGCACCUUCGGGUGUGACUGCGUACCUUUUGUAUAAUGGGUCAGCGACUUAUAUUCUGUAGCAAGGUUAACCGCAUAGGGGAGCCGAAGGGAAACCGAGUCUUAAUUGGGCGUUAAGUUGCAGGGUAUAGACCCGAAACCCGGUGAUCUAGCCAUGGGCAGGUUGAAGGUUGGGUAACACUAACUGGAGGACCGAACCGACUAAUGUUGAAAAAUUAGCGGAUGACUUGUGGCUGGGGGUGAAAGGCCAAUCAAACCGGGAGAUAGCUGGUUCUCCCCGAAAGCUAUUUAGGUAGCGCCUCGUGAACUCAUCUCCGGGGGUAGAGCACUGUUUCGGCUAGGGGGCCAUCCCGGCUUACCAACCCGAUGCAAACUGCGAAUACCGGAGAAUGUUAUCACGGGAGACACACGGCGGGUGCUAACGUCCGUCGUGAAGAGGGAAACAACCCAGACCGCCAGCUAAGGUCCCAAAGUCAUGGUUAAGUGGGAAACGAUGUGGGAAGGCACAGACAGCCAGGAUGUUGGCUUAGAAGCAGCCAUCAUUUAAAGAAAGCGUAAUAGCUCACUGGUCGAGUCGGCCUGCGCGGAAGAUGUAACGGGGCUAAACCAUGCACCGAAGCUGCGGCAGCGACACUAUGUGUUGUUGGGUAGGGGAGCGUUCUGUAAGCCGCUGAAGGUGUGCUGUGAGGCACGCUGGAGGUAUCAGAAGUGCGAAUGCUGACAUAAGUAACGAUAAAGCGGGUGAAAAGCCCGCUCGCCGGAAGACCAAGGGUUCCUGUCCAACGUUAAUCGGGGCAGGGUGAGUCGACCCCUAAGGCGAGGCUGAAAAGCGUAGUCGAUGGGAAACAGGUUAAUAUUCCUGUACUUGGUGUUACUGCGAAGGGGGGACGGAGAAGGCUAGGUUAUCCGGGCGACGGUUGUCCCGGUUUAAGCGUGCAGGUGUGAAGACCAGGCAAAUCCGGUCUUCUUUAACACUGAGGCGUGACGACGAGCCGCUACGGCGGUGAAGUAACUGAUGCCCUGCUUCCAGGAAAAGCCUCUAAGCUCCAGGUAACACGAAAUCGUACCCCAAACCGACACAGGUGGUCAGGUAGAGAAUACCAAGGCGCUUGAGAGAACUCGGGUGAAGGAACUAGGCAAAAUGGUGCCGUAACUUCGGGAGAAGGCACGCUGGCGCGUAGGUGAAGGGACUUGCUCCCGGAGCCGAAGCCAGUCGAAGAUACCAGCUGGCUGCAACUGUUUAUUAAAAACACAGCACUGUGCAAACACGAAAGUGGACGUAUACGGUGUGACGCCUGCCCGGUGCCGGAAGGUUAAUUGAUGGGGUUAUCCGCAAGGAGAAGCUCUUGAUCGAAGCCCCGGUAAACGGCGGCCGUAACUAUAACGGUCCUAAGGUAGCGAAAUUCCUUGUCGGGUAAGUUCCGACCUGCACGAAUGGCGUAAUGAUGGCCAGGCUGUCUCCACCCGAGACUCAGUGAAAUUGAAAUCGCUGUGAAGAUGCAGUGUACCCGCGGCAAGACGGAAAGACCCCGUGAACCUUUACUAUAGCUUGACACUGAACAUUGAGCCUUGAUGUGUAGGAUAGGUGGGAGGCUUUGAAGCGCGGACGCCAGUCUGCGUGGAGCCAACCUUGAAAUACCACCCUUUAAUGUUUGAUGUUCUAACGUAGGCCCGUAAUCCGGGCUGCGGACAGUGUCUGGUGGGUAGUUUGACUGGGGCGGUCUCCUCCCAAAGCGUAACGGAGGAGCACGAAGGUUGGCUAAUCCUGGUCGGACAUCAGGAGGUUAGUGCAAUGGCAUAAGCCAGCUUGACUGCGAGAGUGACGGCUCGAGCAGGUGCGAAAGCAGGUCAUAGUGAUCCGGUGGUUCUGAAUGGAAGGGCCAUCGCUCAACGGAUAAAAGGUACUCCGGGGAUAACAGGCUGAUACCGCCCAAGAGUUCAUAUCGACGGCGGUGUUUGGCACCUCGAUGUCGGCUCAUCACAUCCUGGGGCUGAAGUAGGUCCCAAGGGUACGGCUGUUCGCCGUUUAAAGUGGUACGCGAGCUGGGUUUAGAACGUCGUGAGACAGUUCGGUCCCUAUCUGCCGUGGGCGCUGGAGAAUUGAGGGGGGUUGCUCCUAGUACGAGAGGACCGGAGUGAACGCACCGCUGGUGUUCGGGUUGUCAUGCCAAUGGCACUGCCCGGUAGCUAAGUGCGGAAGAGAUAAGUGCUGAAAGCAUCUAAGCACGAAACUUGCCCCGAGAUGAGUUCUCCCUGACCCUUUAAGGGUCCUGAAGGGACGUUGAAGACGACGACGUUGAUAGGCCGGGUGUGUAAGCGCAGCGAUGCGUUGAGCUAACCGGUACUAAUGACCCGUGAGGCUUAACCUU
rnacentral:rRNA from 1 species